UAAAACAGUUCAAUUAGCUUGCUAUGGACCUACUGAAUUUCUCAAGUGAAUUCCAUAUAUGUGGAUUUUUUUAUGCUUUAGGAUGAUGAUUAUUGGGGUGGGGGGUAUUGUCUGGUUAUUUUGAAGUGUGGGUGCUUGCUGUAAUGUCUUCUUUUUCGAGAUCUUCAGAGGCUUUAAUUUGCUUGAGUAGUUAAGGGCUUGAUUGAGUCCCAUUAUUUUAAAAAAAAAUAUAUUCUUCAACAGUGAUUUGACAUCAUUUCAACCACAUUAUUCAAUAAAAUAAUAUUACACGCAAAUCUAAAAAAAUUUCUUAUUUUUAACCACACAUUUUCCAUUGAUUUGACAUGAAUAAUGUGUUUUCUUCCUA
rnacentral:lncRNA from 1 species